rnacentral:rRNA from 1 species
AUUGAACGCUGGCGGCAGGCCUAACACAUGCAAGUCGAGCGGAGUGGCGGUCGGGUGCGUAAUGACUAGGUAUCUGCCUCGUACUGGUGGAUAACGUCCGGAAAAGGGCGCUAAUACCGCAUACUAUCUGAUCAGCCUAGGUCGGAUUAGCAAGUUGGUGGGGUAAAGGUCUAUCAAGGCGACGAUCCGUAACUGGUCUGAGAGGAUGAUCAGUCACACUGGAACUGAGACACGGUCCAGACUCCUACGGGAGGCAGCAGUGGGGAAUAUUGCACAAUGGGCGCAAGCCUGAUGCAGCCAUGCCGCGUGUAUGAAGAAGGCCUUCGGGUUGUAAAGUACUUUCAGCGGGGAGGCGUUACCCGCAGAAGAAGCACCGGCUAACUCCGUGCCAGCAGCCGCGGUAAUUC